rnacentral:rRNA from 1 species
CAAGGGAUUUUCCGCAAUGGGCGCAAGCCUGACGGAGCAACGCCGCGUGGAGGAUGACGGCUUUCGGGUUGUAAACUCCUUUUGGGGGGGACGAUGAUGACGGUACCCCCCGAACAAGCCCCGGCUAACUACGUGCCAGCAGCCGCGGUAAUACGUAGGGGGCCAGCGUUGUCCGGACUUACUGGGCGUAAAGCGCGUGCAGGCGGUGCUGUAUGUGCCGCGUGAAAGCGCCGGGCUUACCCCGGCGAGGGCGUGGCAGACAGCAGCACUUGAGCCUCGGAGAGGCCGGUGGAAUUCCGGGUGGAGCGGUGAAAUGCGUAGAGAUCCGGAGGAACACCAGAGGCGAAGGCGGCCGGCUGGCCGAGGGCUGACGCUGAGGCGCGACGGCGUGGGGAGCAAACCGG